GACGAACGCUGGCGGCGUGCUUAACACAUGCAAGUCGAGCGGUAAGGCCCUUUCGGGGGUACACGAGCGGCGAACGGGUGAGUAACGCGUGGGUGACCUGCCCUUAGCUCUGGGAUAAGCCUGGGAAACUGGGUCUAAUACCGGAUAUGACUCCAUGACGCAUGUUGUGGGGUGGAAAGCCUUGUGCGGCUAGGGAUGGGCCCGCGGCCUAUCAGCUUGUUGGUGGGGUGAUGGCCUACCAAGGCGACGACGGGUAGCCGGCCUGAGAGGGCGACCGGCCACACUGGGACUGAGACACGGCCCAGACUCCUACGGGAGGCAGCAGUGGGGAAUCUUGCGCAAUGGGCGAAAGCCUGACGCAGCGACGCCGCGUGGGGAUGACGGCCU
rnacentral:rRNA from 1 species